rnacentral:rRNA from 1 species
GGGGAAUAUUGGGCAAUGGGCGCAAGCCUGAGCCAGCAACGCCGCGUGAGGGAAGAAGGUCUUCGGAUUGUAAACCUCUGUCCUUAGCGAAAAGCAGCAGAUGGUAGCUAAGGAGGAAGCUCCGGCUAACUACGUGCCAGCAGCCGCGGUAAUACGUAGGGAGCGAGCGUUGUCCGGAAUGAUUGGGCGUAAAGGGCGCGUAGGCGGCCGUUUAAGUCUGGAGUGAAAUUCCCGUUUUUAAGGUGGGAACUGCUUUGGACACUGGACGGCUUGAGUGCAGGAGAGGUUAUCGGAAUUCCCGGUGUAGCGGUGAAAUGCGUAGAGAUCGGGAGGAACACCAGUGGCGAAGGCGGGUAACUGGACUGCAACUGACGCUGAGGCGCGAAAGUGUGGGGAGCAAAC